rnacentral:sRNA from 1 species
UGAAAGAUGCAGAAGCAGAAAAACUGUUUCGGGUACGGGAAGCGGAAGAAACAAAAAGCAGCCUGAUGCAGGUGGCCAGUGAACAUAUUGCACCACUUCAGGAUGCGGUAGAUCUCGAGAUCGCAACGGAGGAAGAAAAAUCGUUACUGGCCGCAUGGAAGAGGUAUCGGGUGUUGCUGAACCGUGUUGAUACAUCAA